rnacentral:rRNA from 1 species
UACGAAGGGGGGCUAGCGUUGCUCGGAAUUACUGGGCGUAAAGGGCGCGUAGGCGGAUAUCUAAGUUGGGGGUGAAAUCCCGGGGCUCAACCUCGGAAUUGCCUUCAAAACUGGGUAUCUUGAGUUCGGGAGAGGUGAGUGGAACUCCGAGUGUAGAGGUGAAAUUCGUAGAUAUUCGGAAGAACACCAGUGGCGAAGGCGACUCACUGGCCCGAUACUGACGCUGAGGCGCGAAAGCGUGGGAGGCAAC